AGUGAACGCUGGCGGUAGGCCUAACACAUGCAAGUCGAACGGCAGCACAGUAAGAGCUUGCUCUUACGGGUGGCGAGUGGCGGACGGGUGAGGAAUACAUCGGAAUCUACUUUUUCGUGGGGGAUAACGUAGGGAAACUUACGCUAAUACCGCAUACGACCUACGGGUGAAAGCAGGGGAUCUUCGGACCUUGCGCGAUUGAAUGAGCCGAUGUCGGAUUAGCUAGUUGGCGGGGUAAAGGCCCACCAAGGCGACGAUCCGUAGCUGGUCUGAGAGGAUGAUCAGCCACACUGGAACUGAGACACGGUCCAGACUCCUACGGGAGGCAGCAGUCGGGAAUAUUGGACAGUGGGCGCAAGCCUGAUCCAGCCAUACCGCGUGGGUGAAGAAGGCCUUCGGGUUGUAAAGCCCUUUUGUUGGGAAAGAAAAGCAGCAGGUUAAUACCCCGCUGUUCUGACGGUACCCAAAGAAUAAGCACCGGCUAACUUCGUG
rnacentral:rRNA from 1 species